AAAGUACCCGUUCCAGUAAGUACUUCCUGUCUGCCACAUUGAUUGAACUCUUUGGCGAAUUGGAAAAUGGGGAAUGCAGAUACCAAAUUAAACUUCAGGAAGGCUGUAAUUCAGUUAACAACCAAGACUCAGCCAGUAGAGGCCAAUGAUGAAGCCUUUUGGAGCCAGUUCUGGUCUGAUAGUGUAACUUGUAUCCAAGAUGUCUUCACUCUGAUACCAGCAUUAGAAAUAAGAGCUUUAAGGGAAGAAAAUCCAUCAAAUUUAGCCACAUUGUGUUACAAGGCUGUAGAGAAGAUAGUACAAGCUACGGAAACCUCAUGCCGCUCUUAUAAAGAUCAACAGAUAGUCCUGAAUUGUGUACGUCUGCUCUCCCGAAUACUGCCGUACAUAUUUGAGGAUCCAGACUGGCGAGGGUUCUUCUGGUCUACACUGCCAGGUCAGACAGAAGAUGCAGCAGAGGCAGAAGGCAGUCUGCCAUUAGCACAGUCACUUAUCAGUGCUUUGUGUGAUCUGCUGUUUUGCCCAGAGUUCACAGUCACUUCUAGUAAGAAAUCUGGACCUGAUAACCCUGAAGAUCUACAGUCCAUAGACAGCUGUGAGUAUAUCUGGGAGGCUGGUGUAGGAUUUGCCCACUCCCCAGCACACAAUGCUCAGCAUGACUACCACAGGACAGAGAUUCUCAAAUUGUUGCUGACAUGUUUCUCUGAGAGCAUGUACUUGCCUCCAGUGGCUGAGGCCCAUGCUCAGCCCAACCAGUGGAUUGCUUAUUUCACUUCUACAGAAAAUAGACAUGCCCUGCCAUUGUUUACAUCUCUCCUCAACAUCACUGCAUCCUAUGACCCCGUGGGCUAUGGUGUUCCAUACAAUCACUUGAUGUUCACAGACUCCAGAGAACCCCUGGUAGAGGUCUCCCUGCAGGUGCUCUGUGUCACUUUGGAGCAUGAAUUGAACAGGGAGCUUGCUCCAGCAGAUGGAACUAUAGUCACUGCCGGCACUCCUAUGGACCCUGAUGCUAACUGUGAUUCUGGUGGCUCUGACAACCUGUUUGUCAAUUAUAUGUCCAGAGUACACAGGGAAGAGGAUUUCCUGUUCAUACUGAAAGGCAUCACAAGGCUGCUGAACAAUCCCCUAAUGCAGACCUACCUCCCUGGGUCCUGUAAAAGGGUACAGUUCCAUCAAGAACUGCUGGUGCUGUUUUGGAAAAUGUGUGACAUUAAUAAGAAAUUCAUGUUUUACGUACUGAAAAGCAGUGAUGUUCUGGAUGUCCUGGUUCCUAUACUGUAUUAUCUCAAUGAUGCCAGGGCAGAUCAGUCCCGAGUUGGGUUGAUGCACAUUGGUGUAUUCAUUCUGCUUCUGUUGAGUGGGGAGAGAAACUUUGGUGUGAGGCUUAACAAACCCUACACAGUGCGUGUACCCAUGGAUAUCCCCGUGUUCACUGGAGCACACGCAGACUUACUUAUUAUUGUUUUUCACAAAAUCAUUACAAGUGGACACCAGAGACUUCAGCCCCUGUUUGACUGUCUUAUGACUAUUAUUGUCAAUGUGUCACCAUACUUGAAGACCUUAUCAAUGGUGGCUAGCACAAAACUUUUGCAUUUACUUGAGGCAUUCAGCACUCCAUGGUUCUUAUAUGCUAGCCCCACCAAUCACCACUUGGUGUUCUUUUUGUUGGAAGUUUUCAAUAAUAUAAUUCAGUAUCAGUUCGAUGGAAAUUCCAGCCUAGUUUACACUAUAAUAAGAAAGAGGAAUGUAUUCCACCAACUGGCAAACCUCCCCACAGAUCACUCUGCCAUUGCUAAAGCUCUUAGCAAACGGGGCAAGAAGUUCUCCCCGCAAUCUACCCCAGACACUCCACCCGAGCCUCAGACAAUGGAAGGUGCUUUACCAGCAACAGAAGCCGAGCCUGGAACCCUGAAGGCUACCUUAGCAGCAUAUCCAGGGGUAGAUAAUAUGACUGAGAGAAGGCCUCCACAGACGCCAGGUUCAUCACCCACUCAUGAAGCUGCUGCGGAAAAGCCAACACUCAAGGAACUGGCAGGAAGUGGAGAUGUAAACAACGACAAGCCUAAGGCUGAUUCUGUGGCAGAAGUUCAUGAAGAGCAGAAAGGGAAGUCUGAGAAGGUGAAAAAUUUGCAUUCACCUCCUGGCAGCCCUACCUCUUCUAUUGCCUCUGGGGCCUCUGACAAGGCAGUAGCCAGGAUGCAGAGGUCCAGCUCUGUUGGUAGCUCUGGCGGGUCCUGGGUGCCUUCUCCAGAAUGGGUGCACACAUGGAAGCAAAAGCUUCCAUUGCAGACCAUCAUGAGACUUCUUCAAGUGUUAGUGCCACAAGUAGAAAAGAUAUGUAUUGACAAGGGUCUAACUGAUGAGAGUGAAAUCCUCAAGUUUCUCCAGCAUGGUACCCUGGUGGGUCUGCUGCCUGUGCCCCAUCCUAUACUGAUCAGGAAGUACCAGCCAAACAGUGGUACUACCAUGUGGUUCCGUACUUAUAUGUGGGGAGUCAUAUACCUCAGAAAUGUGGAUCCUCCUAUUUGGUAUGACACAGAUGUGAAGCUAUUUGAAAUACAGAGGGUUUAGUAAAUUCACACAUAGGUUGAGAAAAAGUGGCGGUAACAACAAUGAAAAAGGUGUUCAAAAAUUCUUCAAGAUGGGGAUUUUUUUCUCUUCUUUCUUUGUGGGUAAAAUUUUAGGGUGAAGCAGCACUUGACAUUUGUUAUUUUUCUUAUGUUAUAAAAAUGAAAUAUAAGUAAACAGAGAUAAGGCCACAGAGAUCUAAUAUUGUCAUCAUCUUGUGUUCAAUAAUCAAUCAUAUGUAUUAGUAAAAAGGCCGUUAAAAAUAUAUAUAGGAGAUUUUAUUUGUACAUGUUGCUAUAUGGAGAAUGCACUAUUUUAGAGAAUGGGUUAAAUUGUUUGGAGCCCUUUAUGGUAGGAUCAUUUUUGUUGUUUCUCAACGUGCUUUAAAUGAGCACAAGCACACUUGGAGAUCUUGGAUGUAAUUUUAUUGAAUCUAGGUCGAUGUUUGCAUGGAUUGUUCACACUACAAUCCUCAAUAUUUGUAAGUGCUUAUAACAGGCACAUAUGUGACAGCACAGUAAAAUAGUUCUUAUGCUUUACUUGGUGCCAUUGUGAAGACAUUCCAUAUCUCUGUAGGUAGUUGAUCCAAAAGUACUUUAGUAAUGAGAAGUGUUUGAAACUGAUGAUUGUAAUGCCUUUUCUGUUGAUAUAAGAUUACAUUCCUGUUAAUUCAACCCAUAUAGUAGUGAACAUAGCAAGGGCUAUUUGUUAGUUACAUUUUUCUUUUUGUUAUUUUACGAGUGGUAAAAGUUAGUACCAUAGGCUUUUAAUGUGUUACAGGGUGCUCAGGAUGUCUACAGCUGCUGAGAAUAUAGAAAGGACAUUGAAUCUCCAGAUCGUUUCAAAAUUUUGUACCUUUGAUUAUUUCAAAAUAUAAGUAAGGUGUCAGUUUGCAUCAAAGGAUAUUCAGUGUUGAAAUUUACUAACUUUAGCAGAGUACGUGUGAAAUUUAAUGUGUAAGAUUACCUACUGAAUCUAUUAAUUGAAGAUUGAACAGUUUAAAUUCUUAGCGUGUAUAAAGUGCACAUUUUAUUACAGUCAAGAUUUAAUUUUUUUAAAGAAAAAGUUAAAAGGUGAUUUAAUGCACCAUUAUUUUCCUGUCAAGGAUUUUUUGGAAUAUUAAGCAUACAGAUUAAAUUAGAGGCACAUUUUAUUACAGUAAAGAUUCAUUUUUUUUUUUUUUAAGAAAAAGUUUAAAGUUGAUUUAAUGCACAUUUUUCCUGUCAUGGAGUCUUUGGAAUAUUUAGCUUACAAAUUAAAUUAGACAGUGCCAAGACAUGUUGGCAAAAUGAUUUUAAGUGCAAUAAAUGAUAAUUGACGUUGUGCAUUGUAUCAAAUAAAUUACUGGAUGUUU